rnacentral:misc_RNA from 1 species
AGCCAGUUCUUCCUCGUUCCAUUGCCUCAAUCCCUUGCUCAGCCUCUUCAAUAAAUCAACAUUAACCUCACGCACCCAUGUUGGUGUGCAAGUCACCAUCAAGCUCAAAAACCCAGAUACAUAUGCUCGUGCAGUGGCCCAAUCACAACCAAGCGAUAUUUUCCCAUCUAGUGCACUUGCAAGAAAUUCUAAGUGAGACCCAAGGACCUUUGGCCGUCGUUUUGAUGGCGGUGAUUGUGAGUCCACACCCCAUGCAAAUGUCCCACAAAGCAUCACAAGGAAUGCAAGUGCAUAACCUCCAAGCAUAUUAACUACACCUCCAGAUUCUCCACCUUCCUGCUCUGACCCAUGGGCUGAUAUAAACCAAGAGGGUAAAGUUUCUUGGAUUAAAGAUUGAACCAAACUCAACCCACCUGAUAUCCAAACUAAAGAAGCUCCAAGUGAUGCUGCAAGCUUGACACGCAUCAUUGCUGCAGCAAGAGAAACUUGACCAUAUCUCAUCCCAUACUUCGCCCUCUUUAAUUUCUCCACGGUCUCUCUAGGUAACCCACUGUUUGCAAUAUCUUCAACAGAAUGCAUUAGAAUAGAGAGAAUUUUUUCUGUCAUGAACAUGACAUCUCUGAUAGAUCGAUGCACUCGUAAGUAGAGAAUUCCAGGGGCAACAGCCGAGAUCCCACCAGAUAAGUGAGAGCCAAAGCCAUGGCCUAGAAGGGCACCAACACCUCCAUUACUAGAAAUGUGAGGGGGGCUGAAACCAAGAGUAGAAGUGAAGCAACUCUUCAGUAGCUGAACUACAGCAUCACCAUUGUGGUGGAAGACAGUGCCAGAAGCAGAGAACACAAGGAAGUCACUCCAACGCUUUACCUUCUGCGCCCAUAAGGCAGAUAUGAUGGGCAUGCAUGGCCAAGGGCAACCAGCAGCAAGGGCAUUCAAGGC